CCUACGGGUGGCAGCAGUGAGGAAUAUUGGUCAAUGGGCGCGAGCCUGAACCAGCCAAGUAGCGUGAAGGAUGACUGCCCUACGGGUUGUAAACUUCUUUUAUAAGGGAAUAAAGUGAGGCACGUGUGUCUUUUUUUAUGUCCUUUAUUAAUCAGGAUCGGCUAACUCCGUUCCACCAGCCGCGGUUCUACGGAGGUGCCGAGCGUUAUCCGGAUUUAUUGGGGUUAAAGGGAGCGUAGAUGGUUUGUUAAGUCAGGUGUGAAAGUUUGCGGCGUAACCGUAAAAUUGCAAUUGAUACUGGCAGUCUUGAGUACAGUUGAGGUAGGCGGAAUUCGUGGUGUAGCGGGGAAAUGCUUAGAUAUCACGAAGAACUCCGAUUGCGAAGGCAGCUUACUAAACUGCCACUGACAUUGAUGCUCGAAAGUGUGGGUAUCAAACAGGAUUAGAUACCCUGGUAGUC
rnacentral:rRNA from 1 species